rnacentral:rRNA from 1 species
UGGCCGCAGUACUUUAACUGUGCAAAGGUAGCAUAAUAAUUUGUUUUUUAAUUGGAAACUUGUAUGAAUGGUCAUACGAGGGAUUGACUUUCUUUAUCUUAUAUUAAUUAAUUUUAUUUCUCUGUGAAAAAGCAGAGAUGUAUUUAUUAGACGAUAAGACCCUUUAAAACUUUAUUUAUUAUAAAAGUAUGAGUUUUUAGUUGUUUUUUUGUGCUAUUUUUAGUGAAUUUUGUUGGGGCGACAGGUAAAUUUAUUGAACUUUACUUUUUUAUAUCACAAAUUAGUGUUUGUUUGAUCCAGGUUUAUGUUCUGAUUAAAAGCUUAAGUUACUUAA